rnacentral:rRNA from 1 species
AGAGUUUGAUCAUGGCUCAGAUUGAACGCUGGCGGCAGGCCUAACACAUGCAAGUCGAACGGUAGCACAGAGAGCUUGCUCUCGGGUGACGAGUGGCGGACGGGUGAGUAAUGUCUGGGAAACUGCCUGAUGGAGGGGGAUAACUACUGGAAACGGUAGCUAAUACCGCAUAAUGUCGCAAGACCAAAGAGGGGGACCUUCGGGCCUCUUGCCAUCAGAUGUGCCCAGAUGGGAUUAGCUAGUAGGUGGGGUAACGGCUCACCUAGGCGACGAUCCCUAGCUGGUCUGAGAGGAUGACCAGCCACACUGGAACUGAGACACGGUCCAGACUCCUACGGGAGGCAGCAGUGGGGAAUAUUGCACAAUGGGCGCAAGCCUGAUGCAGCCAUGCCGCGUGUAUGAAGAAGGCCUUCGGGUUGUAAAGUACUUUCAGCGGGGAGGAAGGCGUUGAGGUUAAUAACCUCAGCGAUUGACGUUACCCGCAGAAGAAGCACCGGCUAACUCCGUGCCAGCAGCCGCGGUAAUACGGAGGGUGCAAGCGUUAAUCGGAAUUACUGGGCGUAAAGCGCACGCAGGCGGUCUGUCAAGUCGGAUGUGAAAUCCCCGGGCUCAACCUGGGAACUGCAUUCGAAACUGGCAGGCUAGAGUCUUGUAGAGGGGGGUAGAAUUCCAGGUGUAGCGGUGAAAUGCGUAGAGAUCUGGAGGAAUACCGGUGGCGAAGGCGGCCCCCUGGACAAAGACUGACGCUCAGGUGCGAAAGCGUGGGGAGCAAACAGGAUUAGAUACCCUGGUAGUCCACGCCGUAAACGAUGUCGACUUGGAGGUUGUGCCCUUGAGGCGUGGCUUCCGGAGCUAACGCGUUAAGUCGACCGCCUGGGGAGUACGGCCGCAAGGUUAAAACUCAAAUGAAUUGACGGGGGCCCGCACAAGCGGUGGAGCAUGUGGUUUAAUUCGAUGCAACGCGAAGAACCUUACCUACUCUUGACAUCCAGAGAACUUUCCAGAGAUGGAUUGGUGCCUUCGGGAACUCUGAGACAGGUGCUGCAUGGCUGUCGUCAGCUCGUGUUGUGAAAUGUUGGGUUAAGUCCCGCAACGAGCGCAACCCUUAUCCUUUGUUGCCAGCGGUCCGGCCGGGAACUCAAAGGAGACUGCCAGUGAUAAACUGGAGGAAGGUGGGGAUGACGUCAAGUCAUCAUGGCCCUUACGAGUAGGGCUACACACGUGCUACAAUGGCGCAUACAAAGAGAAGCGACCUCGCGAGAGCAAGCGGACCUCAUAAAGUGCGUCGUAGUCCGGAUUGGAGUCUGCAACUCGACUCCAUGAAGUCGGAAUCGCUAGUAAUCGUAGAUCAGAAUGCUACGGUGAAUACGUUCCCGGGCCUUGUACACACCGCCCGUCACACCAUGGGAGUGGGUUGCAAAAGAAGUAGGUAGCUUAACCUUCGGGAGGGCGCUUACCACUUUGUGAUUCAUGACUGGGGUGAAGUCGUAACAAGGUAACCGUAGGGGAACCUGCGGUUGGAUCACCU